CCCUUAGAGUUUGAUCCUGGCUCAGGACGAACGCUGGCGGNGUGCUUAACACAUUCAAGUCGAACGGAAGUAUAGAGGAAGCUUGCGAAUCUAUACUUUAGUGGCGGACGGGUGAGUAACGCGUGGAUAACCUGCCUGAAUGACUGGGACAACACCGGGAAACUGGUGCUAAUACCGGAUACGCUCACCAUUGCGCAGGCAAAGGUGAGGAAAGGAGAAAUCCGCAUACAGAUGGGUCCGCGUCCCAUUAGCUAGUUGGCGGUGUAAGAGACCACCAAGGCGACGAUGGGUAGCCGGCCUGAGAGGGUGGACGGCCACACUGGAACUGAGACACGGUCCAGACUCCUACGGGAGGCAGCAGUGGGGAAUCUUCCGCAAUGGGCGAAAGCCUGACGGAGCAACGCCGCGUGAGUGAGGAAGGCCUUCGGGUCGUAAAACUCUGUCUUCAGGGAAGAAAAAAAUGACGGUACCUGAGGAGGAAGCCCCGGCUAACUACGUGCCAGCAGCCGCGGUAAAACGUAGGGGGCGAGCGUUGUCCGGAAUUACUGGGCGUAAAGGGCGCGUAGGCGGUUAUUUAAGUCAGAGGUGAAAACUACCGGCUCAACCGGUAGCCUGCCUUUGAAACUGGAUGACUUGAGGGCAGGAGAGGGGAGUGGAAUUCCCAGUGUAGCGGUGAAAUGCGUAGAUAUUGGGAGGAAACACCAGUGGCGAAGGCGGCUCUCUGGCNUGUUUUUUGACNCUGAGGCGCG
rnacentral:rRNA from 1 species